ensembl:lncRNA novel transcript
UGUGGUUUCACUGCUGUUCAAGGGCUCUGUUUUGACUGCAAGAAGAGACACUACGUAGAAGAAUAAGUACAUAAAAUAAGCUGCAUUCAUACUAAGUGAGCAUCAACAAGCACCUCUUGAUCUCUAAGACAGCAAACCAAAAUCAUUACAUGCAAUAAAAUGGAAGCAAAAUCCUUUUAUAGAAGACAAGCACCGUAUUUCUCAACCAAAUGCAAGCUUACACACCAAAUGUUUUGAUUUCAAAAGAAACAAUAUUUUAAUGUCCUAGGUUGAAGAGUUUUGUGGGAUUAUUAUUCUGUAUCUUCAAAGUAAGUGAG